UACGGAGGGUGCGAGCGUUGUUCGGAAUCACUGGGCGUAAAGCGCGUGUAGGCGGCCUUGUAAGUCUGGUGUGAAAGCCCGGGGCUUACCCCCGGAAGUGCACUGGAAACUGCAAGGCUUGAGUACCGGAGAGGAAAGUGGAAUUCCUGGUGUAGCGGUGAAAUGCGUAGAUAUCGGGAGGAACACCUGAGGCGAAGGCGGGCUACUGGGCCGAUACUGACGCUGAUGCGCGAAAGCCAGGGGAGCGAACGGG
rnacentral:rRNA from 1 species